UACAGAGACUGCAAGCGUUAUUCGGAUUCACUGGGCGUAAAGGGUGCGUAGGCGGUCGCGCAAGUCGGAUGUGAAAUCUUAGGGCUCAACCCUGAAACUGCAUUCGAUACUGCGUGGCUCGAGUACUGGAGAGGAGACUGGAAUUUACGGUGUAGCAGUGAAAUGCGUAGAUAUCGUAAGGAAGACCAGUGGCGAAGGCGAGUCUCUGGACAGUUACUGACGCUGAGGCACGAAGGCCAGGGGAGCAAACGGG
rnacentral:rRNA from 1 species